GGCAUAGCCUAGUAAUGUGGCAUGCGAGGAUUUCAAGUUAUCUUUUUUCUCAAUUUUUUUUUACCUUUUCUCUAUUAUUUUGCUUUUUUUUUUCUCUUUGUUUCAAUUUUUUUGACCGUUCGGUUAAACACUCAAAAGUCAUGCCCUUUCGUAACCCUUUUCAUUAAACCUGCCUCUAUUAAUCAUUAUCUUACUUAAGAAGAAGAAGCGUUUCAACAGAGCCCAACUGCUAUAUAGUUCAAAAGUCUUUUUCUGAAUAAGAAAAAAAAACUCAAACUCAAGUUUAAUCUUUCAUUGAACAAACAACUUUUAUGCCGUCGGAAGAUGGCUUCAACGUAUUGCCGAUUUACAUUGAGAUUUUUUGCCUUCUUCCACUUUCUAUGUAAAAGAGGGCCUGCAUCUCACAAUGCAGGUAAGGAUUUACAGGUCGACGACACAGAGCGCUAGGAUUCUCGUACCAGCUGUUUGGUGAUCCCCAGUUCUUUCGGGGCAUUAUCAUUACUUUACAGCCUUUCAGUAUUUACAGACAGUCAGUGUCUUCAGCACUUCAAUAGAGGCUUCAUAGACUAGAGUAACAGUUAGACAGAGUCUCAGACUUUUUAUGUUAAGCCAUGUUGGCUGCCAAUAUGUUUAAGAAUUGUAUUAAUAUUUCUGCACUUUGAUUUAUAUCAUCCAGACUUUCAGUAUA